rnacentral:rRNA from 1 species
UGGAUCCAGACUUUGAUUCUGGCUCAGGAUGAACGCUAGCUACAGGCUUAACACAUGCAAGUCGAGGGGCAGCAUAUCAGUAGCUUGCUACUGGUGAUGGCGACCGGCGCACGGGUGAGUAACGCGUAUCCAACCUUCCCAUGACUGGGGAAUAACCUUGCGAAAGUAAGACUAAUACCCCAUGGUUUCCGAGGCGGACAUCCAAUUUGGAAUAAAGAUUCAUCGGUCAUGGAUGGGGAUGCGUCUGAUUAGCUUGUUGGCGGGGUAACGGCCCACCAAGGCGACGAUCAGUAGGGGUUCUGAGAGGAAGGUCCCCCACAUUGGAACUGAGACACGGUCCAAACUCCUACGGGAGGCAGCAGUGAGGAAUAUUGGUCAAUGGACGAGAGUCUGAACCAGCCAAGUAGCGUGCAGGAUGACGGCCCUAUGGGUUGUAAACUGCUUUUAUACGGGAAUAAAGUGGCUCACGUGUGGGUUUUUGUAUGUACCGUAUGAAUAAGGACCGGCUAAUUCCGUGCCAGCAGCCGCGGUAAUACGGAAGGUCCGGGCGUUAUCCGGAUUUAUUGGGUUUAAAGGGAGCGUAGGCCGCCGAUUAAGCGUGUUGUGGAAUGCCGCAGCUCAACUGUGGCACUGCAGCGCGAACUGGUUGGCUUGAGUGCGCGGAAGGCAGGCGGAAUUUGUGGUGUAGCGGUGAAAUGCUUAGAUAUCACGAAGAACCCCGAUUGCGAAGGCAGCUUGCCGCAGCGUAACUGACGCUGAAGCUCGAAAGUGCGGGUAUCGAACAGGAUUAGAUACCCUGGUAGUCCGCACGGUAAACGAUGGAUGCCCGCUGUUCCGGCUAUAUGUUGGAGUGGCCAAGCGAAAGCGUUAAGCAUCCCACCUGGGGAGUACGCCGGCAACGGUGCAACUCAAAGGAAUUGACGGA